rnacentral:rRNA from 1 species
GACGAACGCUGGCGGCGUGCUUAACACAUGCAAGUCGAACGGAAAGGCCCUGCUUUUGUGGGGUGCUCGAGUGGCGAACGUGUGAGUAACCCGUGAGUAACCUGCCCUUGACUUUGGGAUAACUUCAGGAAACUGGUGCUAAUACCGGAUAGGAGCUCCUGCUGCAUGGUGGGGGUUGGAAAGUUUCGGUGGUUGGGGGUGGACUCCCGGCUUAUCAGCUUGUUGGUGGGGUAGUGGCUUACCGAGGCUUUGACGGAUAGCCGGCCUGAGAGGGUGAACGGCCACAUUGGGACUGCGAUACGGCGCAGACUCGUACAGGAGGCAGCAGUGGAGAAUAUUGCACAAUGGGGGGAAGCCUGAUGCAGCAACGCCGCGUGCGGGAUGACGGCCUUCGGGUUGUAAACCGCUUUCGCCUGUGACGAAGCGUGAGUGACGGUAAUGGGUAAAGAAGCACCGGCUAACUACGUG